rnacentral:rRNA from 1 species
AUUGAACGCUGGCGGCAUGCCUAACACAUGCAAGUCGAACGGUAACAGGAAGCAGCUUGCUGCUUCGCUGACGAGUGGCGGACGGGUGAGUAAUGUCUGGGAAACUGCCUGAUGGAGGGGGAUAACUACUGGAAACGGUAGCUAAUACCGCAUAACGUCGCAAGACCAAAGAGGGGGACCUUCGGGCCUCUUGCCAUCGGAUGUGCCCAGAUGGGAUUAGCUAGUAGGUGGGGUAACGGCUCACCUAGGCGACGAUCCCUAGCUGGUCUGAGAGGCUGACCAGCCACGCUGGAACUGAGACACGGUCCAGACUCCUACGGGAGGCAGCAGUGGGGAAUAUUGCACAAUGGGCGAAAGCCUGAUGCAGCCAUGCCGCGUGUAUGAAGAAGGCCUUCGGGUUGUAAAGUACUUUCAGCGGGGAGGAAGGCGAUAAGGUUAAUAACCUUGUCGAUUGACGUUACCCGCAGAAGAAGCACCGGCUAACUCCGUGCCAGCCGCCGCCGUAAAAC